ensembl:lncRNA
UGGACAUGUUUGAAUAAUCAUCAUGGCAAGUGGGCAUCAUGUCCUGAUGCAAGAGGAAUGGCACAGAAUAACCUGCUUGUUUCCGCUGCUACGCUUUUCUCUGGAACAACUUUCACUGAAGUACACGAGUGGGCCAGCAUCCUAAACUUGCAACUCUUGAAGAAAUCGCAGUACUACUCCAUCCAAUCCGACUACCUUAUUCCAGUAGUACACUUUGCAUACAAAGAUCAUCAUGAGAAUCUCAUCAGGCGACUUAUUGGACAAAAGGCUGAAGGCGAGUCCAUAGAGCUGUGUGGAGAUGCCAGGUCUGACUCACCAGGCUACAGCUGCAAGUAUUCCACCUAUUCGUUUCAGCUUCUAUCCAGUAAUGAGAUCAUUCACUUUGAACUACUACAGGCGCAGGGAGGCGACCCUCUCGUCUACCGGGGU